UCCUACGGGUGGCAGCAGUGGGGGAUAUUGCACAAUGGAGGAAACUCUGAUGCAGCGACGCCGCGUGAGUGAAGAAGGCCUUCGGGUCGCAAAGCUCUGUCCUAGGGGAAGAUAAUGACGGUACCCUAGGAGGAAGCCCCGGCUAACUACGUGCCAGCAGCCGCGGUAAUACGUAGGGGGCGAGCGUUGUCCGGAAUUACUGGGCGUAAAGAGUUCGUAGGCGGUCUGAUAAGUCAGAUGUGAAAGGCGUAGGCUUAACCUAUGUAAGCAUAUGAAACUGUCAGACUUGAGGUAAGGAGAGGAAAGUGGAAUUCCUAGUGUAGCGGUGAAAUGCGUAGAUAUUAGGAGGAAUACCAGUGGCGAAGGCGACUUUCUGGACUUAAACUGACGCUGAGGAACGAAAGCGUGGGGAGCAAACAGGAUUAGAUACCCCUGUAGUCCA
rnacentral:rRNA from 1 species